AGAAAACAAACUUUAAUUUGUCAAGAGCAUGGUAUACAAAAUGCAUCUCUCAUAUCAGGUGUUAUCUAUCCUAAGUCUUUGGAUUAGAGGUUCUGUGGGAAUCAUCACAGUAGAUCAGUCUCCUGCUGUCAUCAAUGCCCAGCCUCAGGACACAGUGAAGAUCCUUUGUCGAGCUUCACAGGAUAUUGGAAAUGAUAUGGAGCUGUACCAAUUUAAACCUGGACAACCACCCAAACACCUCAUCCAUGACAGUACCAGUAGAAUGUCUGGCACUCCUGAGCGGUUCAGCGGGUCCUACAGUGGGGCUCUGACCACCUUCACCAUCAGUGGCGUUCAGAUAGAGGAUGAGGCCGUGUACUACUGCCAGCAGAGUGAAAACUUCCCGUACAUGUUUGGUCAAGGCACCAAACUGACUGUCAAAAGUCGUGCCGUCUCAUCUCCUGAAGUCAAGAUCCUUCAGCCGACCCAAAGGGUUGCCUCUCCCGGCGUUCCUGCCUCACUGGUCUGUGUGGUCAGCAAGUUUUACCCUGACCAAGUGACGGUGAACUGGUUGGUGGAUGGACAGGGGGCCAAAGGGGACAAACAGGACAGCCAGUCGGUGCGUGCAUCUGACAAGACCUACAGCAUGAGCAGCACUCUGUGGCUCCAGCCGACUGACUGGGAGGCGGCCAAGACCUUCACCUGCCAGGUCCAACACGAGAGCCAGCAGGACCCCACCACCGCCACGCUGGACAAGAGUCAGUGCAUGUAGCUAGAGGAGUCCGGGAGCUAGAGCAGCAACACACACACACACACACACACACACGCACCGCACACACACACACCCACACACACACACACUCACCCAC